CUUAGAGUAGGUUAAAAAAACCGAGGGUUUGUGGAACCUUAAAUAUAUUUUAUCUUUAAG
rnacentral:tRNA from 1 species